GUAGGGAAUAUUGCACAAUGGGCGAAAGCCUGAUGCAGCAACGCCGCGUGCGCGAUGAAGGCCUUCGGGUCGUAAAGCGCUUUUUGGGGAGACGAGGAAGGACGGUAUCCCCAGAAUAAGGAUCGGCUAACUACGUGCCAGCAGCCGCGGUAAAACGUAGGAUCCGAGCGUUAUCCGAAUUCACUGGGCGUAAAGCGCGAGUAGGCGGCAUAUCAAGUUGGAUGUAAAACCUCCCGGCUCAACUGGGAGCAGACGUACAAGACUGAUAAGCUAGAGGACGGUAGAGGGAGGUGGAAUUCCCGGUGUAGUGGUGAAAUGCGUAGAUAUCGGGAGGAACACCAGAGGCGAAGGCGGCCUCCUGGACCGUUCCUGACGCUGAGAAGCGAAAGCUAGGGGAGCGAACGGGAUUAGAAACCCUUGUAGUCC
rnacentral:rRNA from 1 species